UCCAACAUCAAGUAAUGAUGACAGUAAAUCUAAUUUGAAUACAUCUGGCAAGACAACUUCAAGUACAGAUGGACCCAAAUUCCCUGGAGAUAAAAGUUCAACAACACAAAAUAAUAACCAGCAGAAAAAAGGGAUCCAGGUGUUACCUGAUGGUCGGGUUACUAACAUUCCUCAAGGGAUGGUGACGGACCAAUUUGGAAUGAUUGGCCUGUUAACAUUUAUCAGGGCAGCAGAGACAGACCCAGGAAUGGUACAUCUUGCAUUAGGAAGUGACUUAACAACAUUAGGCCUCAAUCUGAACUCUCCUGAAAAUCUCUACCCCAAAUUUGCGUCACCCUGGGCAUCUUCACCUUGUCGACCUCAAGACAUAGACUUCCAUGUUCCAUCUGAGUACUUAACGAACAUUCACAUUAGGGAUAAGCUGGCUGCAAUAAAACUUGGCCGAUAUGGUGAAGACCUUCUCUUCUAUCUCUAUUACAUGAAUGGAGGAGACGUAUUACAACUUUUAGCUGCAGUGGAGCUGUAUGUUCAAAGUAUUUUAAUCACUUUUGUAUUAUAGUGGAUCUUGACUAUGCUGAAAACAUCUUUAAGUGAUGAUGGCUAUCUUUAAAUGGAACUAUUUCUCCAUCAAGAAAUUUAUUUUUACAUUAUUAAAGUGAAUUUAAUUUAGAUUAAAACCGUAUCUUAACCAUGGCUUCAUAAUCUAUAUACCUAAAAAGAAUUUCAAACUUAAUGCUGAAGCUGGGUGCAGUGGCUCACACUUGUAAUCCCAGCACUUUGGUGAGGUGGACAGAUCACUUGAGGCCAGAAGUUAGGGACAGCCUGGGCAACACAGCAAACCACAUUUCUACAAAAAAUAAAGGAAAAUAUUAGCUAGGUGUGGUGGCACACAUCUAUAUAGUCCUAGCUACUUGGGAGGCUACAGCAGGAGGAUCGCUUGAGCCCAGGAGUUUGAGGUGUCAGUGAGCUAUGAUUGUGCCAUUGCACUCUAGUGUGGCUGACAGUGCAAGACCCUGUCUCUAAAAAUAACUAAUAAGUGCCAAAUUUGUAAGAAGACAGAAUUGACAUAACUCAUGGAUUUGGUGAAUCUAAUUUUUGUAAAUAUGUGAAUUAUAUGAUAUUCAUGACUAUGUUUUUUAUUCCUUGUGGAACCAUAUGUAUAAAUAAUUCGAUACUGAAUUUAAUCAUUUCAUAAACAUUAUUACUUAUAAGCAAGGCAGUGUGCAUAUUUGUUGUACGUUUUGAAGUGCUGAUUAAAGUCCACAUUUUCAUUAUCAGCAGUCUAUUGGCCAGUUUAAACAAAUAUUAAUGUAAAGAAAUUGGUUCAUUGAUAUUUUUUCCCUGAGCAGUUCUGUAUUUACCUGAUGCUCUAAAAUUAAGUUUUCUGUCGUUACUCAAAUGUACAGUUGGCAACACAUUUUGUUAUCAAUAGACAAUUAUGUUUACUAUAGAGUAAACUAUUAGUAAUUAUUUAUGACCUUAUGAUUGGGAGACCUUUUCACAAAUUUAAGUAUUUCAUAACAUUUCUAAUAACAUUUCUAUAAAUGGCUUUGGAUCAAAUAGUUUAAAGUAUAUAAUUCAGUAUGUUGAUAAUGAAUUGUUUCGUUUCAUUUCACAACUGAGAGGAUUUUUCCCUUAUGUUUUUCCUUCAUUUUUGUGAGAAUAGAGAUUAUUACCUGUUGUUCCUUUUAAUUGUUCAUAAGUAAAUAAAUACAUUCAGGCACUCAUUCAUCUAUCACUGGCAGUUCUGUUUUCAUAUUUUAUUUAUGUCUUAAAAACUACCUCAUGACGUUGGUAGGAAAGCAUUUCUUUACAUGGAGGUUUAUUUUGUGGGACAUUACCUCCUCUGGAUGUUACUUCCUCAGUUUACAAGUAGUGUAAAUUCUCAUUGAUUCUUUUAUGAAUUGUAAUGGAUUUUCUCUUAGCUUUUGAGAAUUUAGAAUCUGAAAUUUGAAUAAAAAGUAAAUAUAUUCAGUAUAAUUUUUCAAAAUGCUCUAGUUUCAAGAUAGUUAAAAAAUUAUGUGGAAUUUACAUAAUUAAUUCAAAUAUAGUUUGUAUUUAGUUCCUUAUCAAAUAAUGCAAAUAGUUGGAGAUACCUCAAUUUCUUUUGAGUGUUAAGAAGAGCAAGAAAGGAGUGAAGUUUUUGCAACACAUUGUGUCUUUAUUUGGUCUGCCUAUGUUUUUAUCACAUUGCUUAUAAAACUUUUAAAAUCCUUGUUUGUAUAAAAAGUUUCUUUAGUUAAAUAAAAGUGUGUGUAUUAAUUAGUGUGCCUUCUGGACAAAUUAAGAAAUAUUUUUUCUAUAUUUCAAUGCGGUUGUAUUUAAUAACUUAUAAUAAAUGAGUAGGAAGCAUUCAUAUU
rnacentral:lncRNA from 1 species